rnacentral:rRNA from 1 species
ACUCCUACGGGGAGGCAGCAGUGGGGAAUAUUGGACAAUGGGCGAAAGCCUGAUCCAGCCAUGCCGCGUGUGUGAAGAAGGUCUUCGGAUUGUAAAGCACUUUAAGUUGGGAGGAAGGGUUGUAGAUUAAUACUCUGCAAUUUUGACGUUACCGACAGAAUAAGCACCGGCUAACUCUGUGCCAGCAGCCGCGGUAAUACAGAGGGUGCAAGCGUUAAUCGGAAUUACUGGGGCGUAAAGCGCGCGUAGGUGGUUAGUUAAGUUGGAUGUGAAAUCCCCGGGGCUCAACCUGGGGAACUGCAUUCAAAACUGACUGACUAGAGUAUGGUAGAGGGUGGUGGAAUUUCCUGUGUAGCGGUGAAAUGCGUAGAUAUAGGAAGGAACACCAGUGGCGAAGGCGACCACCUGGACUGAUACUGACACUGAGGUGCG